GUAUGAAUAGCCGGGGUUGUGUUUCUUUGGGGGGAUUGACAGUGUAAUAGUCUAGCACAUGAAUGAAUACAUCAAUUUAACUUGUUAUGACAUUCCUUGGAAAAUGGGCCGUGUGGGAGGGAACUGAAGCCCCCUGACAACAGCCAUUUGAGUGAACCUGUAAGCGGACCCUUCAGCUCUAAAUGAUGCAGCCCUGGCCAACACCUUGACCACAGCCUGUAAGAGACCUGAGAUAGAACUAUCCAGAUGUCUUCUUUCAGGAAGUCCUUCUGGACCUACACUCUCCAUCCUGAGCAGUUACUGUUUCAUCCUGAAAGACAGUGUUCUCUCCUGAGGUCUGGAGAUUGACAUUUCUGUGGACUUAAUCUAUAUGUCCAAGGACACUUCAAAGGUUAAGCAAAUUCUAUUUCUAGUACUAUAAUCAGUAAAUUGUAAAUGCUAGUAGCUUUAGGUUUUGAUACUUUGGGCCCUUAAUUUUGAAUAAAGAUCCUGCUACCACUCUGAAAUAUCAGAUGCUACACAGUAACAGUGGGCUAUAAAAAUCUACAGUAUGAGACUUGCCAAAACAGGUUUUAUGAGGAUUUGGCUGGUUCUAGAAGUAGAAUUGGCUUAAAUAUACUGUGGCAUGUGAAAAAUGUUAUACAUACAUUUUUGUUUAAAAUUAAAUAUACAAUAAAUUUUAAUCCAAUUGCUUUGUUUUCAAAGACAAAUCUAGAGCAACAUACUUGGAAAGGAAAUUUUAUAAUUUACCUAAAAAUAUCCAAGCAUAUCAUGUAGCCUUUUAGUCUUUAGGAGGUUAACGGAUUGUCUUUGCUUAGAUAACUUGUAAUAAUUUUACACUUUCUCUUUUAUUGGCUGAUUUGGAAAUGAUAAAACAAAAUUAAAAUUGAAAAGGAAUCAAAGCACUCGUUAAAACUCAGCAUCAGAGACACAAGCCCAGGAUACAGUUGCAUAACUGAAUGUUCUUUUCAGGUAACACCUGGCUUUUUCUAUUUAUAGAAAGAUAUCACAAGUUUAAACACAGAGGAAAAUGGUUCAUAAAUCCAAUAAAAUUUGGAAUGCACAACUACCAGCAAUUUCAGGGGAUUUUCACCCAAUAUAUUUGCCAACAAAUCAAUAACACGAGUAAAUCCUUCUGCAUUGUGGACAAUCAAAUGCUCACUAACAGUCUUUUACAGAUAAUUUUAACAAUUGCGUUUUAAUCCAGUGAAU
rnacentral:lncRNA from 1 species